UACGUAGGGCGCAAGCGUUAUCCGGAAUUAUUGGGCGUAAAGAGCUCGUAGGCGGUUUGUCGCGUCUGCCGUGAAAGUCCGGGGCUCAACUCCGGAUCUGCGGUGGGUACGGGCAGACUAGAGUGAUGUAGGGGAGACUGGAAUUCCUGGUGUAGCGGUGAAAUGCGCAGAUAUCAGGAGGAACACCGGUGGCGGAAGGCGGCUCUCUAGUACGGUACUGACGCUGAGACGGCGAA
rnacentral:rRNA from 1 species